AAAUUGAAGAGUUUGAUCAUGGCUCAGAUUGAACGCUGGCGGCAGGCCUAACACAUGCAAGUCGAGCGGAAACGAGUUAUCUGAACCUUCGGGGAACGAUAACGGCGUCGAGCGGCGGACGGGUGAGUAAUGCCUAGGAAAUUGCCCUGAUGUGGGGGAUAACCAUUGGAAACGAUGGCUAAUACCGCAUGAUGCCUACGGGCCAAAGAGGGGGACCUUCGGGCCUCUCGCGUCAGGAUAUGCCUAGGUGGGAUUAGCUAGUUGGUGAGGUAAGGGCUCACCAAGGCGACGAUCCCUAGCUGGUCUGAGAGGAUGAUCAGCCACACUGGAACUGAGACACGGUCCAGACUCCUACGGGAGGCAGCAGUGGGGAAUAUUGCACAAUGGGCGCAAGCCUGAUGCAGCCAUGCCGCGUGUGUGAAGAAGGCCUUCGGGUUGUAAAGCACUUUCAGUCGUGAGGAAGGUAGUGUAGUUAAUAGCUGCAUUAUUUGACGUUAGCGACAGAAGAAGCACCGGCUAACUCCGUGCCAGCAGCCGCGGUAAUACGGAGGGUGCGAGCGUUAAUCGGAAUUACUGGGCGUAAAGCGCAUGCAGGUGGUUUGUUAAGUCAGAUGUGAAAGCCCGGGGCUCAACCUCGGAAUUGCAUUUGAAACUGGCAGACUAGAGUACUGUAGAGGGGGGUAGAAUUUCAGGUGUAGCGGUGAAAUGCGUAGAGAUCUGAAGGAAUACCGGUGGCGAAGGCGGCCCCCUGGACAGAUACUGACACUCAGAUGCGAAAGCGUGGGGAGCAAACAGGAUUAGAUACCCUGGUAGUCCACGCCGUAAACGAUGUCUACUUGGAGGUUGUGGCCUUGAGCCGUGGCUUUCGGAGCUAACGCGUUAAGUAGACCGCCUGGGGAGUACGGUCGCAAGAUUAAAACUCAAAUGAAUUGACGGGGGCCCGCACAAGCGGUGGAGCAUGUGGUUUAAUUCGAUGCAACGCGAAGAACCUUACCUACUCUUGACAUCCAGAGAACUUUCCAGAGAUGGAUUGGUGCCUUCGGGAACUCUGAGACAGGUGCUGCAUGGCUGUCGUCAGCUCGUGUUGUGAAAUGUUGGGUUAAGUCCCGCAACGAGCGCAACCCUUAUCCUUGUUUGCCAGCGAGUAAUGUCGGGAACUCCAGGGAGACUGCCGGUGAUAAACCGGAGGAAGGUGGGGACGACGUCAAGUCAUCAUGGCCCUUACGAGUAGGGCUACACACGUGCUACAAUGGCGCAUACAGAGGGCAGCCAACUUGCGAAAGUGAGCGAAUCCCAAAAAGUGCGUCGUAGUCCGGAUUGGAGUCUGCAACUCGACUCCAUGAAGUCGGAAUCGCUAGUAAUCGUGGAUCAGAAUGCCACGGUGAAUACGUUCCCGGGCCUUGUACACACCGCCCGUCACACCAUGGGAGUGGGCUGCAAAAGAAGUAGGUAGUUUAACCUUCGGGGGGGACGCUUACCACUUUGUGGUUCAUGACUGGGGUGAAGUCGUAACAAGGUAGCGCUAGGGGAACCUGGCGCUGGAUCACCUCCUUAAACGAUGAU
rnacentral:rRNA from 1 species